rnacentral:rRNA from 1 species
GCCUACGGGAGGCAGCAGUCGAGAAUUUUUCACAAUGGGCGCAAGCCUGAUGGAGCGACGCCGCGUGGGGGAUGAAGGGCUUCGGCCCGUAAACCCCUGUCAUUUGCGAACAAUUCUUUUCCGAUAACACCGGAAAAGUUGAUGGUAGCGAAAGAGGAAGGGACGGCUAACUCUGUGCCAGCAGCCGCGGUAAUACAGAGGUCCCAAGCGUUGUUCGGAUUCACUGGGCGUAAAGGGUGCGUAGGUGGUGAGGUAAGUCGGAUGUGAAAUCUCUGAGCUCAACUCAGAAAUGGCAUUGGAAACUACCUUGCUAGAGGAUUGGAGGGGGGACUGGAAUUCUCGGUGUAGCAGUGAAAUGCGUAGAGAUCGAGAGGAACACCAGUGGCGAAGGCGAGUCCCUGGACAAUUCCUGACGCUGAGGCACGAAAGCUAGGGGAGCAAACAGGAUUAGAUACCCUGGU